rnacentral:rRNA from 1 species
ACGCUCGACACCUACGGGAGCAGCAGUCGGGAAUAUUGCGCAAUGGAGGAAACUCUGACGCAGUGACGCCGCGUAUGGGAAGAAGGUUUUCGGAUUGUAAACCAUUUUAGACAAGGAAGAAACAAGACAGUACUUGUAGAAUAAGCUCCGGCUAACUACGUGCCAGGAGCCGCGGUAAUCUGAGCGGGCUGGCAAGGC